rnacentral:rRNA from 2 species
UGGGGAAUAUUGCACAAUGGAGGGAACUCUGAUGCAGCGACGCCGCGUGAACGAAGAAGGCUUUCGAGUCGUAAAGUUCUUUUAUACGGGAAGAUAAUGACGGUACCAUAAGAAAAAGCCCCGGCUAACUACGUGCCAGCAGCCGCGGUAAUACGUAGGGGGCUAGCGUUGUCCGGAAUCACUGGGCGUAAAGGGUUCGCAGGCGGAAAUGCAAGUCAGGUGUAAAAGGCAGUAGCUUAACUACUGUAAGCAUUUGAAACUGCAUAUCUUGAGAAGAGUAGAGGUAAGUGGAAUUUUUAGUGUAGCGGUGAAAUGCGUAGAUAUUAAAAAGAAUACCGGUGGCGAAGGCGACUUACUGGGCUCAUUCUGACGCUGAGGAACGAAAGCGUGGGUAGCAAACAGG